rnacentral:misc_RNA from 1 species
GUAGGUGAACCUGCGGAAGGAUCAUUAACACAAUACUUUCAAUAUCAACCUCUGAGCACUGACAGACGCUAAGAAUGCGGCCGUUAGGAAGGCAAUGGUUCGAGUUAUUCAGUAAAACGUUUCACUCGGCUCUCCUAGCUGCUCUCCCUUCCCUCCUACUUUUCUGUUCUACGGCAUUGAGGAAAGCAACGCGGGUUUACCUCGCUUGUGGAAGAGGCGAUAGCUGACUCCUUAGAUGAUCACAGCCUGC